AUGUCUGGUGAGCUGCCACCGGCCCUAGGUAACUGCUCAAAUCUCAGAUACAUUACCCUCAGAAACAACAGUUUUACCGGGCAUCUCAGUAGAGUCAACUUCACCAUGGUGGAUCUGAGGACAGCUGAUUUUUCAAUGAAUAACUUCAGUGAUACAAUUCCUGAAAUUAUCUACUCAUGCAGCAACCUAGUUGCAUUGCGCCUAGCUUUCAAUCAAUUUCAUGGCCAGUUCUCACCAAGCAUUGGAAAUCUCAGGUUCCUCUCCUUCUUUUCAGUCACCGGCAACUCUUUUACAAAUAUCACAAAUGCACUUCAGAUGCUCAAGGGCUGCAAGAAUCUCACCUCCCUGAUGAUGGGAACCAAUUUCAAGGGUGAAACCAUACCACAAGAUGAAACAUUUUAUGGUUUUGAGAGUCUUCAGGUAUUGACCAUAGAUGAUUGCCCAUUGACCGGGCAAAUCCCUCUUUGGAUAUCAAAGCUUGCAAAAUUGGAGAUGCUAGAUUUAUCAUUAAAUCAACUCACUGGACAAAUACCAUCCUGGAUUGAUGGACUGGGCUUCCUGUUCUCUCUAGAUAUAUCAAGCAACAAACUUACAGGGGAUAUACCAGGUGCAUUGACAAAGAUGCCGAUGUUACUAUCUGAGAGAAAUGCUGCCAAGUUGGACACAAGGUUCCNNCCUUUUUCGGCAUAUUGGACACCAUUACGUCAAUACCGGAUGGUCAGUGCUUUUCCCAGCAAAUUGUGUCUAGACAACAAUAAUUUCACUGGUGCAAUUCCCCCAGAGAUUGGUCAACUAAAAAUGCUCGACAUCCUGAAUUUAAGCUCCAACAGCUUAACUGGUGAAAUACCACAAGAAAUCUGCAACCUCACAAACCUGCAAAUGCUUGAUCUGUCAAACAACCAGCUCACAGGUGCAAUACCAUCUGACAGUUUGAUUCGUUUUCAAAUUCCAGCUACAGUGGAAUCCAAAGCUAUGCAGACCUAUGAUCAACAAUGA
rnacentral:rRNA from 1 species